AUUGGUUCUAGGUAAUUUGCCGAUAAUAUUUUCGGUCGAAAAAUUUUCCUCGAGAUUUUAAUACCUAUCAUUUUUGCCGUCAUUUUUUUUUAUACAAUAGGUUCGAACUUUACUGUUGUAUCUCGAUCAGAUUAAUUAUAUUGCUAGCACCUCGUUAUCUUUAUUGUAUCACACAAACUUUUCUAAAAAAAGAAACAGAAAAAAUACCCGAAAUCAUCUGGUAGUUAGCCAAAUAAGUAAAUCAUACGAACUGCCAUUUAUCUCUUAAAUACUUUUUAGACUAUCACUAUCAUAUCAUCAUUAUAUGUUCGAACCAAUUAUAUAAAAACUUAAAAAAGUGGGGAUUAUUUCAUACGGUAAAAUGUACUCGAGUUACAGGCAGAGAAAAUUUUCAAUGAAAAAUUACCGGUCACGAUCAACAUUUUUAACAGGAUGAGGACACGAAACUUUUAAAAUCCGCAUAAAAUAAAGACAGCAUCAUUGAAAAAAUGUAUUUGUGUGUAUAGGGUAUUUGAGUGUGCGUUUAAUAUUUUAGAACUAGUCGACGACUUGAUUUUAGCUCGAUGUAGAUCAAUGCGUCAUAUUAGAAAAAAAAACCUGAUGGAUGUUGAAGAGUUGAUAGUAACAAGGAUUUAUGCUUCUUAAUGUGAGACAGAAGUCCUAACAUUCUCUACAUAUUUUUUAAUGGCCCAUCUAUAAACCCUGGUUUCUAGUACAUAAAUUAUUAUAUAAGAAAGGUUGAUAAUUGUUGGAUUGUUGUAAUAUAAAAGGAUAUCGGGAGAAUAACUUUUACUACUAUGGCUUCCUUUAAUUAAGUCACUAAAGAGUUAUAUAUUAUACAUACACGAGACUCAAUAUAAACAAGAAAAAACCUAAAAUAAUGUCGCCUUCUGUCUGGAUUUCUGGAAACGGAGGCCCAGGAAUUUGGAAUACUUACCGGUCGAGAAACAGAUGUGUUGUCGGAUUUGUCGAUAUAAAUUUGCCUUUAGUCCCCAUCUAGAAUUAAACGCCACACAUUAUCCUCAUCUCAUAUCAAGAGCAUGGAUAUUCAUCUAAAAAAUCAAGUUAAUGAUGAAUGCAUCAAGCCAGACUUUAACUUUGAUCUCAGAAAGAUGUUUAUCGCAUGUAAUAAACCCUUAUCAAUUGUUAAUCAUCCUACGUUCAAAAAAUACACGCAAAAUAUUGAGUCUAGGGAAAAAGUUAUUGGUAUUGAAAGAGAGAGAGAGAAAAAAAAGGAAGAAUAAUUAGAAAGAGAAACUGGUGGUGGUGGCCUCCCCUUCUUAAUCGUGUGGAAACGUAUAACGGUAUAAGGGACACGUAAAUACACAAACAAUCACGCUUUUAUAAUUAUAUAUACAGAUGUAUUUAAUUUUGGG
rnacentral:lncRNA from 1 species